rnacentral:rRNA from 1 species
UACGGAGGGGGCUAGCGUUGUUCGGAAUUACUGGGCGUAAAGCGCACGUAGGCGGCUUUGCAAGUUAGAGGUGAAAGCCCGGGGCUCAACUCCGGAAUUGCCUUUAAAACUGCAUCGCUAGAAUUGUGGAGAGGGAAGUGGAAUUCCGAGUGUAGAGGUGAAAUUCGUAGAGAUCCGGAAGAACACCGGUGGCGAAGGCGGCCUGCUGGGCAGUUGCUGACACUGAGGCGCGACAGCGUGGGGAGCAAACAGG